GGAGGAGCUUUUGAUGAUAAAUAACUUACUUUCUGGUGAAAUUCCUGCCAGUUUGAGUGAAUGCCGGAGCUUACUGCGAGUGAGAUUGGCUCAUAACCAGUUAUCCGGUGAUGUUCCGGAGGGGUUCUGGGGUCUGCCUCACCUUUCCCUGCUUGAGCUCAUGGACAAUUCACUCUCCGGAGAUAUCGCGAAAACUAUAGCUAGUGCUUCAAAUUUAUCAGCUUUGAUUUUGUCUAAGAACAAAUUUUCAGGUUCCAUUCCUGAGGAGAUUGGUUCUCUGGAAAAUCUUCUUGAUUUUGUGGGCAAUGAUAACCAGUUUUCUGGGCCUUUACCUGCAAGUCUGGUGAUUCUUGGACAAUUGGGGAGGCUGGAUCUUCACAACAAUGAGUUAACUGGUAAGCUUCCGAGUGGGAUUCAUUCUUUGAAGAAAUUGAAUGAAUUGAACUUGGCAAACAAUGAUCUUUCUGGAGAUAUCCCCAUGGAGAUUGGGAGCUUGUCUGUUUUGAAUUAUCUUGAUCUAUCAGGGAACCAGUUUUCAGGGAAAAUCCCACUGGAGUUGCAGAAUUUGAAGCUCAAUCAGCUGAACUUGUCGAAUAAUGACCUUUCGGGUGAUAUCCCCCCUGUUUAUGCAAAGGAAAUGUAUAAGAGUAGCUUUUUGGGUAAUGCUGGUCUAUGUGGAGACAUUGAGGGCUUGUGUGAAGGAACAGCUGAAGGUAAAACUGCUGGUUAUGUUUGGUUAUUGAGGUUACUAUUCACCCUUGCUGGAAUGGUGUUUGUUAUUGGGGUUGCUUGGUUCUACUGGAAGUACAAGAAUUUUAAGGAAGCUAAAAGGGCUAUUGAUAAGUCUAAAUGGACUUUAAUGUCGUUUCAUAAAUUGGGUUUCAACGAGUAUGAAAUCUUGGAUGCUCUUGAUGAGGAUAACUUAAUUGGCAGUGGCUCUUCUGGGAAGGUUUACAAGGUUGUUCUGAGCAAGGGUGACACUGUUGCGGUGAAGAAGAUAUUGAGAAGUGUGAAAAUAGUAGAUGAUUGUAGUGAUAUCGAGAAAGGUAGCAUUCAAGAAGAUGGAUUUGAAGCGGAGGUUGAGA
rnacentral:misc_RNA from 1 species